CCACUCAUCGAUGGUUUAUUAAAUAUGCAUUGGAAUAUGAACCAGUGUAUGAACGCUUAUAGCUUCUUAUAACACGUCGUAGCUCCUUAAAACACGUCAUAGCUCCUUAUAACACGUUAUAACACGUCAUAGCUCCUUAUAACACGUUAUAACACGUCAUAGCUCCUUAUAACACGUUAUAACACGUCAUAGCUCCUUAUAACACGUUAUAACACGUCAUAGUUCCUUAUAACACGUUAUAACACGUCAUAGCUCCUUAUAACACGUUAUAACACGUCAUAGCUCCUUAUAACACGUUAUAACACAUCAUAGCUCCUUAUAACACGUUAUAACACAUCAUAGCUCCUUAUAACACAUCGUAGCUUCUUAAAACACGUCAUGUGUUAUAACCUAUCAUAGCUUAACACGUCAUAGCUUCUUAUAACACGUCAUAGCUCCUUAUAACACAUCAUAGCUCCUUAUAACACGUCAUAGCUUCUCAUUAUAACACAUCAUAGCUCCUUAUAACACAUCAUAGCUUCUCCUUAUAACACGUCAUAGCUUCUCAUUAUAACACAUCAUAGCUCCUUAUAACACGCCAUAGCUCCUAAUAACACAUCAUAGCUUCUCCUUAUAACACGUCAUAGCUUCUCAUUAUAACACAUCAUAGCUUCUCCUUAUAACACAUCAUAGCUUCUCCUUAUAACACAUCAUAGCUUCUCCUUAUAACACAUCAUAGCUCCUCCUAAUAACACAUCAUAGCUUCUCCUUAUAACACGUCAUAGCUCCUAAUAACACAUCAUAGCUUCUCCUUAUAACACGUCAUAGCUUAUAACACGUCAUAGCUUCUCCUUAUAACACAUCAUAGCUUCUCCUUAUAACACAUCAUAGCUUCUCCUUAUAACACAUCAUAGCUCCUCCUUAUAACACAUCAUAGCUUGUCCUUAUAACACAUCAUAGCUUCUCCUUAUAACACAUCAUAGCUUCUCCUUAUAACACGUCAUAGCUCCUUAUAUCACGUCAUGAUGAUGAAGAGGAUGUGAAGGCUGGUGCUGGGGGGGAUGUCUUA
ensembl:lncRNA